GUCCGCGUAGCUCAAUUGGAUAGAGUGUCGGCCUCCGAAGCCGAAGGUUGCAGGUUCGAGCCCUGCCGCGGAUA
rnacentral:tRNA from 1 species